rnacentral:rRNA from 1 species
UAGUCCACGCCGUAAACGAUGUGUGCUAGUUGUCGGGCUCUAAGAGUUCGGUGACGCCGCUAACGCAUUAAGCACACCGCCUGGGGAGUACGGCCGCAAGGUUAAAACUCAAAAGAAUUGACGGGGACCCGCACAAGCGGUGGAGCAUGUUCUUUAAUUCGAAGCAACGCGAAGAACCUUACCUACACUUGACAUACUCGUCGGGAAUUUCAGAGAUGAUUUUCUUCGGUUCGGCCGGACGAGAUACAGGUGCUGCACGGCUGUCGUCAGCUCGUGUCGUGAGAUGUUUGGUUAAGUCCAGCAACGAGCGCAACCCCUAUCGUAUGUUGCCAGCAUUCAGUUGGGCACUCAUGCGAGACUGCCGGUGUUAAGCCGGAGGAAGGUGGGGACGACGUCAAGUCAUCAUGGCCCUUACGUGUAGGGCUAGAAACGUGCUACAAUGGCAGGUACAGAGAGCAGCCACAACGCGAGUUGGAGCGAAUCUAUAAAACCUAUCACAGUUCGG